UUGGUGCAUGACCUAACUUCAA
rnacentral:siRNA from 1 species